AUGGCUCAGUGGUAGAGUGCUUGCCUUGCAUGCAUGAGGCUCUGGGUUUGAUUCCUCAGU
rnacentral:tRNA from 1 species